UCAUGUCAUAUUAAGAUGUCUGAUGGAACCCGUGAACAAGUAUUGGGUGUCUGAAAUGUGACGUCAUAUGACAUGAUUUUUCCGUCUAGCUAGAACUAGUUCACGCUGGUAAACAACUAGCAAGAAAAUACUGUCGCCAACGCAUUUGUCAUGACGAAAGAGGUUCCAGAUUUCUUCGUCCUCACAAGGACUGACUGUCAUGGACACUUGGGUACAUUACAUAUAUGAAUCUAUUUUGUAAAUGCAUUGAUGAAAAAGAAUGUUCAGUCGAUCAUAUCCAAGAUAGCAUAUUAACUGAAAUAUGCUAAUAUCACUAAGAGAAAGUCAACAAUUAACUUUAAAAAAUGCACCUAAGGGUAUUGCCAGGCACACUUGGCAUCCCUGCUGGGUUUGCCUUGGUACAGUGUAUAAAAACCCGGGGCAUUCGCCGAAGUCAGCAUCUUUCCUAACCAGCCGAUCCACCUGCACUCCGUCCACCAUGAAAGUGUUGUUCUUCCUCGUUGCUGUGCUGGCAGCCCUGGUGGCCCUGGCUGAGGUCGCCUCUGGGAUGCCCAAUCCUGUAGCCGCUCCUGAACCUGAUCGCUAUUACAUUCACCCGACGCUGUUUAAAAACAAACGGCAUCGAACUUAGUACUGAACGGUCGGUCGCCCUCUUCCUCCUGGACACCCACGUCAGACAUCUAACAGUGUUGGUAAUUGCGUCACCAAGUCGAAGAAGCUGCACACGAUUACUCAUGUUUGAUUCUUUAAAUUAGAAGUGAUGAGUUUUGCGCUCCAAGCUUCUAUCAUGAGUUGCAUCCAUUGUUCUUUUUUUUUUUUUUGUAGUGACGAUAUCAACAACCUGGCAGUUGUUUAGUUUUAUUUACUCUCUUAUUUAUGUAACUUCUCUUUAGCCCUUCUUCCUAGUCAUGUAUAUGUUAUAAUUGUGCAAACAAGAAUUCAAUAAAUGAAUUUGUAUUAUAUUACAA